UACGGAGGGUGCGAGCGUUGUCCGGAAUCACUGGGCGUAAAGGGCGCGUAGGUUGGCGCGGAAAGUUCAACGGUGAAAGCUUGGGGCUCAACCCCCGGAGUCGGCCCGGUCGAUACUUCUGGGGCUUGAGCACUGUAGAGGCAGAUGGAAUUCCGGGUGUAGCGGUGGAAUGCGUAGAGAUCCGGAAGAACACCGGUGGCGAAGGCGGUCUGCUGGGCAGUAGCUGACACUGAUGCGCGACAGCGUGGGGAGCAACAGG
rnacentral:rRNA from 1 species